rnacentral:rRNA from 1 species
AGAGUUUGAUCCUGGCUCAGGACGAACGCUGGCGGCGUGCCUAAUACAUGCAAGUAGAACGCUGAAGAGAGGAGCUUGCUCUUCUUGGAUGAGUUGCGAACGGGUGAGUAACGCGUAGGUAACCUGCCUUGUAGCGGGGGAUAACUAUUGGAAACGAUAGCUAAUACCGCAUAACAAUGGAUGACACAUGUCAUUUAUUUGAAAGGGGCAAUUGCUCCACUACAAGAUGGACCUGCGUUGUAUUAGCUAGUAGGUGAGGUAACGGCUCACCUAGGCGACGAUACAUAGCCGACCUGAGAGGGUGAUCGGCCACACUGGGACUGAGACACGGCCCAGACUCCUACGGGAGGCAGCAGUAGGGAAUCUUCGGCAAUGGGGGCAACCCUGACCGAGCAACGCCGCGUGAGUGAAGAAGGUUUUCGGAUCGUAAAGCUCUGUUGUAAGUCAAGAACGAGUGUGAGGGUGGAAAGUUCACACUGUGACGGUAGCUUACCAGAAAGGGACG